AGACCCCGAGGAGCAAAUUCUGGAGGUCGAUCGAGGAAAACAAAAGGUUUCAGAAUAACCGAAACGCAAAACCGAGACGAAUACCAAAGUUCGUGGACUUACGAAGAUUGGAAGACGAUUGGAGAGUCAACACACUAUCUUCUUGUCUAGCUUUGGUAUAUAGAUACUCUUAUUUUGUUCAAUGGCAUGUAUAGGGCUUUUGUUAAUUUUGUAAUAUGUGUCAUUUGAUUAGCCAAUAUGAAGGCUUGUAAGGUGUACAUGUCCACAUGCAUAUGGCCAUAGUAUUUGGCUCAUUUUGUUAUAAGGUAUGACCUACAUAGUUGUGCAUAUUUGUGUUCUAAUGUCAUUGAGAUGAAUCAACAUGGCGUAUCACAAGUAGAUACACAUGUACAAUGACCGAAUCACAUGGGAUGGCUAGACCAUAAUUGGCAAUAAGUUAUAAUAAUGAGCCAAUCUUGAAUGUGUUAUAAGGCAUAGACAUUCUUGAUACAACAGAAAUAA